GACGAACGCUGGCGGCGUGCUUAACACAUGCAAGUCGAACGGAAAGGCCCUGCUUUUGUGGGGUGCUCGAGUGGCGAACGGGUAAGUAACACGUGAGUAACCUGCCCUUGACUUUGGGAUAACUUCAGGAAACUGGGGCUAAUACCGGAUAGGAGCUCCUGCUGCAUGGCGGGGGUUGGAAAGUUUCGGCGGUUGGGGAUGGACUCGCGGCUUAUCAGCUUGUUGGUGGGGUAGUGGCUUACCAAGGCUUUGACGGGUAGCCGGCCUGAGAGGGUGACCGGCCACAUUGGGACUGAGAUACGGCCCAGACUCCUACGGGAGGCAGCAGUGGGGAAUAUUGCACAAUGGGCGGAAGCCUGAUGCAGCAACGCCGCGUGCGGGAUGACGGCCUUCGGGUUGUAAACCGCUUUCGCCUGUGACGAAGCGUGAGUGACGGUAAUGGGUAAAGAAGCACCGGCUAACUACGUG
rnacentral:rRNA from 1 species